rnacentral:misc_RNA from 1 species
UUGCCUCAAGAGUGGACAUACUGAUCCAAGAAUUAAUCCUUCUCAUGAUAUAUAGUGUUGUUUUUGUUGGACAAAAAGAAAGCAGGUAUAGAGGUAGAAGUAUCAAUUAGGGUUUUUAUGGGAUAUUUGGUUUUUACAUAGGAAAAGGAAUUGAAGAAGGGAAAUAAGAAAUUAAGACAGCUAGGGUUUUUUUUUUUUUGAGGGAAGUUUGCAGUCAGCUUUUUAGAUGAAAAGCAGCGAAAGGAAUGAAGCAAUAGACUAGUAGAAAAGGUAUUUUAUUUUUAUUUUUAUUAUAAUAAAUGGGUUAUGUCUUGAAAUUGAGGUUCUUUUGUAAGGGACAGGGAUGGAUUAGGUCUUGUGUUUUGAUUUUCUAGGCAUAAUCUGUGCUUGUGUUAUUUAUUUAGGGGAAGAUUUUGCUGGGAAAUAGAAGGUUGGGCAUGAGCUUUUUGAGGGAUUCAUCCGCAAACCUUUCAAGUCUUGUAAUGUCCCUUUGCAGCUAAAAGAUUCUAUAAUAAGAACAGCUCUUGUUAA